rnacentral:rRNA from 1 species
AACGAACGCUGGCGGCAGGCUUAACACAUGCAAGUCGAACGGUUGUAGCAACACAGCAGUGGCAGACGGGUGAGUAACACGUGGGAACCUUCCUAGGGGGUACGGAACAACUCAGGGAAACUUGAGCUAAUACCGUAUACGUCCGUGAGGAGAAAGAUUUAUCGCCCUUAGACGGGCCCGCGUCGGAUUAGCUAGUUGGUGGGUAACGGCCUACCAAGGCGACGAUCCGUAGCUGAUCUUAGAGGAUGAUCAGCCACACUGGGACUGAGACACGGCCCAGACUCCUACGGGAGGCAGCAGUGGGGAAUCUUGGACAAUGGGCGCAAGCCUGAUCCAGCCAUGCCGCGUGAGUGAAGAAGGUCUUCGGAUUGUAAAGCUCUUUUGCCAGGGACGAUAAUGACGGUACCUGGAGAAUAAGCCCCGGCAAACUUCGUGCCAGCAGCCGCGGUAAU